rnacentral:rRNA from 1 species
ACACGAAGCGGACAAACGUUAUUCGGAAUUAUUGGGCUUAAAGGGUGCGUAGGCGGCGCGGUAAGUGAGGUGUGAAAGCCCACGACUCAAUCGUGGAAUUGCGCUUCAUACUGCCGUGCUAGAGGGAGACAGAGGUAAGCGGAACUGAUGGUGGAGCGGUGAAAUGCGUUGAUAUUAUCAGGAACACCGGUGGCGAAGGCGGCUUACUGGGUCUCUUCUGACGCUGAGGCACGAAAGCUAGGGUAGCGAACGGGAUUAGAAACCCCAGUAGUCC